AUUGAACGCUGGCGGCAAGCCUAACACAUGCAAGUCGAACGAGUGGCGGACGGGUGAGUAAUGUCUGGGAAACUGCCUGAUGGAGGGGGAUAACUACUGGAAACGGUAGCUAAUACCGCAUACAAUCGGAUGGGCCCAGAUGGGUUUAGCUAGUAGGGGGGGUAAAGGCUCACCUAGGCGACGAUCCCUAGCUGGUCUGAGAGGAGGACCAGCCACCCUGGAACUGAGACACGGGCCAUACUCCUAAGGGAGGCAGCAGUGGGGACUAUUGGACAAUGGGCGCAAGCCGGAAGCAGCCAUGCCGAGUGUAUGAAGAAGGCCUUCGGGUUGUAAAGUACUGGCAGCGGGGAGGCGUUACCCGCAGAAGAAGCACCGGCUAACUCCGUGCCAGCAGCCGCGGUAAUAC
rnacentral:rRNA from 1 species